rnacentral:rRNA from 1 species
GACGUAGGGCGCGAGCGUUGUCCGGAUUUAUUGGGCGUAAAGAGCUCGUAGGCGGCUUGUCGCGUCGAAUGUGAAAUCUCAGGGCUCAACUCUGACAUUGCAUUCGAUACGGGCAGGCUAGAGUUCGGUAGGGGAGACUGGAAUUCCUGGUGUAGCGGUGAAAUGCGCAGAUAUCAGGAGGAACACCGGUGGCGAAGGCGGGUCUCUGGGUCGAUACUGACGCUGAGGAGCGAAAGCGUGGGGAGCGAACAGG